AUAUAGUUUGCUGUGUGUAAUGUUAUUGGAUCGAUACAGAGAAGAUUAGCAUGGUCACUUGCGCAAAGAUGACACGCAUAAUCGUGGAGCGGAUUCAAAUUUAU